AUUGAACGCUGGCGGCAUGCCUUACACAUGCAAGUCGAACGGCAGCACGGGAGCAAUCCUGGUGGCGAGUGGCGAACGGGUGAGUAAAGCAUCGGAACGUGCCCAGUCGUGGGGGAUAACGUAGCGAAAGCUACGCUAAUACCGCAUACGAUCUGUGGAUGAAAGCGGGGGACCGUAAGGCCUCGCGCGAUUGGAGCGGCCGAUGUCAGAUUAGGUAGUUGGUGGGGUAAAGGCUCACCAAGCCGACGAUCUGUAGCUGGUCUGAGAGGACGACCAGCCACACUGGGACUGAGACACGGCCCAGACUCCUACGGGAGGCAGCAGUGGGGAAUUUUGGACAAUGGGCGCAAGCCUGAUCCAGCAAUGCCGCGUGCAGGAUGAAGGCCUUCGGGUUGUAAACUGCUUUUGUACGGAGCGAAACGGCUUCCACUAAUACUGGGGGCUAAUGGCGGUACCGUAAGAAUAAGCACCGGCUAACUACGUGCCAGCAGCCGCCGUAACAC
rnacentral:rRNA from 1 species